rnacentral:rRNA from 1 species
CCUACGGGAGGCAGCAGUGAGGAAUAUUGGUCAAUGGGCGAGAUCCUGAACCAGCCAAGCCGCGUGAGGGAAGACGGCCCUAUGGGUUGUAAACCUCUUUUGUCGGAGAACAAAACCCGGGACGUGUCCCCGAAUGCGUGUAUCCGAAGAAAAAGCAUCGGCUAACUCCGUGUCAGCAGCCGCGGUAAUACGGAGGAUGCGAGCGUUAUCCGGAUUUAUUGGGUUUAAGGGGUGCGCAGGCGGUCCGUUAAGUCGGCGGUAAAAGUGCGGGGCUCAACCCCGUCGAGCCGUUGAAACUGGCAGACUUGAGUUGGCGAGAAGUACGCGGAAUGCGCGGUGUAGCGGUGAAAUGCAUAGAUAUCGCGCAGAACUCCGAUUGCGAAGGCAGCGUACCGGCGCCAGACUGACGCUGAGGCACGAAAGCGUGGGGAUCGAACAGGAUUAGAUACCCUAGUAGUC